rnacentral:rRNA from 1 species
UACGAGAGCCUCGAGCGUUAUCCGGAAUUAUUGGGCGUAAAGGGUGCGUAGGUUGUUCUGUUUAGUCUUUUUGUCAAAAGCCCCCGGGCUUAACCUGGGAUAUGCGGGAGAAAACGGCAGAACUUGAAAAGUGCGAGAGGUGUACGGAACUCAUGGUGUAGGGGGUGAAAAUCCGUUGAUAUCAUGGGGAACACCAAAUGCGAAGGCAGUACACUGGCGCAUAUUUGACACUGAAGCACGAAAAGCGUGGGU